CCCCUCCCCAGCCCAGAAAUGGGUGGAACGUCCGCUCUUCCUCCAGGGAGUAGGGGAAAGGGUGGCCGGCGGCAGUAUUGAGAGUGCAGUGAAAAAGAUGUACUCAUUGAGUGGACUGAAUACAACGGUUGUUUUUAUAGGUGGCAGUACAAGAAGCUACAAUUUUCCCUUCCCACCCAGGGAUGGCAUCAUCAUCGUGAAAAACCUAGAGAAGAAAAAAAAAGAGCCACAGUGAAAAAAUAAGUAAGACAGGGAUGUCUAGAUGGCUGCUGCUGAUAAAAGCAAGACCUCAACACAGAAGAUAAAGAACAUACAGAGGAAAGCCUUAAGUUAGAGUCUACGUCCCUUUUGUUUCGUCCCUAAAGUUAUACCUAAAUAUAAAAAUGUAUACAAAUGCAUACAUAUAUAUAAAUAUAAAAUAUUUUUAACAUAUGUAAUAUGUUAUUGUAUUUUGUAUAACAGAUUAUGUGCAUUAUAUAUAAUACAACAUAUACU